GCAAAUUACCCAAUCCUGACACAGGGAGGUAGUGACAAGAAAUAACAAUACAGGGCGAAUGUCUUGUAAUUGGAAUGAUGGUGACCCAAACCCUCACCAGAGUAGCAAUUGGAGGGCAAGUCUGGUGCCAGCAGCCGCGGUAAUUCCAGCUCCAAUAGCGUAUAUUAAACUUGUUGCAGUUAAAAAGCUCGUAGUUGUAUUUUUGCGUUGACGGUUUGACCAUUUGGUUGGUUAUUUCGUUUUCGCUUUUGGGAAUUUCCCUUUUUACUUUGAGAAAAUUAGAGUGUUUCAAGCAGACUUUUGUCUUGAAUACUUCAGCAUGGAAUAAUAGAGUAGGACUUUGGUUCUAUUUUGUUGGUUAUUGAACCUUAGUAAUGGUUAAUAGGAACGGUUGGGGGCAUUCGUAUUUAAA
rnacentral:rRNA from 1 species